AACGAACGCUGGCGGCAUGCCUAACACAUGCAAGUCGAACGAGACCUUCGGGUCUAGUGGCGCACGGGUGCGUAACGCGUGGGAACCUGCCCUUAGGUUCGGAAUAACUCCCCGAAAGGGGUGCUAAUACCGGAUAAUGUCUUCGGACCAAAGAUUUAUCGCCUUUGGAUGGGCCCGCGUUGGAUUAGCUAGUUGGUAGGGUAAAAGCCUACCAUGGCGACGAUCCAUAGCUGGUCUGAGAGGAUGAUCAGCCACACUGGGACUGAGACACGGCCCAGACUCCUACGGGAGGCAGCAGUAGAGAAUAUUGGACAAUGGGCGAAAGCCUGAUCAAGCAAUGCCGCGUGAGUGAUGAAGGCCUUAGGGUUGUAAAGCUCUUUUACACGGGAUGAGAAUGACAGUACCGGGAGAAUAAGCACCGGCUAACUCCGUG
rnacentral:rRNA from 1 species